rnacentral:rRNA from 1 species
AUUGAACGCUGGCGGCAGGCCUAACACAUGCAAGUCGAGCGGCUGCAGGGAGCUUGCUCCUGGAUUCAGCGGCGGACGGGUGAGUAAUGCCUAGGAAUCUGCCAGGUAGUGGGGGAUAACGUCCGGAAACGGGCGCUAAUACCGCAUACGUCCUGAGGGCGUAAGUGGGGGAUCUUCGGACCUCACGCUAUCAGAUGAGCCUAGGUCGGAUUAGCUAGUUGGUGGGGUAAAGGCCUACCAAGGCGACGAUCCGUAACUGGUCUGAGAGGAUGAUCAGUCACACUGGAACUGAGACACGGUCCAGACUCCUACGGGAGGCAGCAGUGGGGAAUAUUGGACAAUGGGCGAAAGCCUGAUCCAGCCAUGCCGCGUGUGUGAAGAAGGUCUUCGGAUUGUAAAGCACUUUAAGUUGGGAGGAAGGGCAGUAAGUUAAUACCUUGCUGUUUUGACGUUACCAACAGAAUAAGCACCGGCUAACUUCGUG